UACAGAGGUCCCGAGCGUUGUUCGGAUUCAUUGGGCGUAAAGGGUGCGUAGGCGGCGGGGCAAGUCUGAUGUGAAAUCCCGGGGCUCAACCCCGGAACUGCAUUGGAUACUGCCUUGCUAGAGUACUGGAGAGGGAACUGGAAUUUACGGUGUAGCAGUGAAAUGCGUAGAGAUCGUAAGGAAGGCCAGUGGCGAAGGCGAGUUCCUGGACAGUAACUGACGCUGAGGCACGAAGGCCAGGGGAGCAAACGGG
rnacentral:rRNA from 1 species